GAGCGGGAUAUGGGUGAGCAUCACGUUGGAAACUGCCUCAUAGUGAGGAAUAAGCCCUACAAAUAGGGCCUAAUACCGGAAAGCCCGGCAAGGACUAAGCUUCGGCGUGAUGAGAGGUGCCUGCGAUUGAUCAGCUUGUUGGGGGGGGCAACUCAUACCACCGCUAUGACGGGUAGGUGUGUUGAGAAGAUGAUCAGCCCCAUGGGAACUGAGACACCAUCCCCACUCCUACCCGAGUUGGCAGUAAGGAAUUUUGUGCAGUGCCCAGAAACCCUUGAUGAGCACUACCGCGAGAGGGAGGACGCCCUUUUGGAUUUAAACUUCUUUUCUGAGACAAUAGAUAUGAAUGUACCUCAAGAACAAGCACCGGCUAACUCCAGGCCAGCAGACCCUUCGGGAUCCUGCCAGCAAGCUGUAUCCGGAUUUAUUGGGCGUAAAGAGUCCGUCGACGUUUUGCUAAUAAGAAAUCCAAGACCAGAGCCCCACUCUGGCCCGGUAUUCUAAACUGUCCAAAUUGAGUGAUGCAGAGGCAAGUGCACUCUGUGUGUAGGGGUUAUUCCGUAGAUAUACAGAGGAACACCAAAAGCGAAGGCAGCUUGCUGGGCUUUUACUGUCGCUCAAGGACGAAAGCGUGGGGAGCGAACAGGAUUAGAUACCCUGGUAGUACACGCCCUAAACGAUGAUUACUCGUUGUCGGAGGCUUCGACCCCUUCGGUGACUAAGCUAACGCUUUAAGUAAUCCGCCUGGGUAGUACGGCCGCAAGGUUAAAUCUCAAAGGAAUAGACGGGGACCCACACAAGCGGUGGAGCAUCUGGUUUAAUUCGACAAUAAGCGAAAAACCUCACCAAGAUUUGACAUCCCGAGAAGAUUGCCGAAAGGUGAUUGUGCCGUAAGGAACUCGGUGACAGGUGCUGCAUGGUUGUCGUCAGCUCGUGCCUUGAGGUGUUCGGUUAAGUCCGUAAACGAGCGCAACCCAUGUCUUAAGUUGUAUUUUUCUUAAGAGACUGCCGGCUUCAAGUCGGAGGAAGGUAUGGAUGACGUCAAAUCAGCAUGGCCCUUGUGUCUUGGGCGACACAGGUGCUACAAUGGUCGGUACAGUAGGCAGCGACGGGGCAACCCAGAGCCAAUCCUUAAACCCGGUCCAAGUUCGGAUUGAGGGCUGAAAUUCGCCCUCAUGAAGCUGGAAUCGCUAGUAACCGUGAAUCAGCAUGUCACGGUGAAUAUGUUCCUGGGUCUUGUACUCACCGCCCGUCAAGUCAUGAAAGAUGGGGGCGCCCGAAGUCCCUUUAG
rnacentral:rRNA from 1 species